rnacentral:lncRNA from 1 species
GGCCUCUGAUUGGCCGAAGCUGGCAGAGCAGGGCCUCUCGCGCUCCUGGGUCCAUGCAACCUGCUCCCUGUGGCUGCCGAGUUCUCGGGAACAGCGGCUCGGCCUGCAAGGCUGUUGUUUCAAGAAAUGAAAAUGAAGGGCGCCCUGGAAUAGGUUCGCCGAAGAGAGAGCUUGCAGGCCUCUGGGAAGCAAGCCAUCGUGUGGCAGAGGCCCAGGUGGCAAGGAACCAAGGGCGGCUUCUGGCCAACAGCCAGCGAGGACCUGAGACCGUAGCCCAACACCCCUCCAGGAACUGAAUUUUGCCAGCAACCAGUGAGUGACCUUGGAAGUGGAUCCUUCCCCCGAAAGCCCGGCUUUCAGCUCAGAGAAUGGAAAAAUAUCUCUUCCUAAAGACACAGAGAAACAUAAACAAACCUGACCAAUAGAAGGACCAAAACCUCUGCACAGUGCCUCACCCCUCGGAGGAAUUAACAAAAAUACGGAGGCUGGUGGGACCUCAACCCCAGCUGGUAUCCAGGCUCUUGACACCAUCUGGAGAAGGAAUUCAAGAGUGUGUCAGAAAAUGAUGAAAGUACAAAGAUUUAUUGCAAAGCGAAAAAUACACACUCAAGAAAGGGGAGUAUGGGUGGACUCAAGACAGAGUCCGAUGGGACUUGGGGUUUCUACCUUUUGGGUUUCUUUUUUUUUUUUUUUUGAUAUGGAGUCUCGCACUGUUGCCCAGGCUGGAGCGCAGUGGCGUGAUUUUGGCUCACUGCAACCUCUGCCUCCCGGGUUAAAACGAUUCUCCUGCCUCAGCGUCCCAAGUAGCUGGGAUUACAGGCUCCCACCACCAUGCCCGGCUAAUUUUUGUAUUUUUAGUAGAGACGAGGCCUCACCAUAUUGGCCAGGCUGUUCUCGAACUCCGGACCUUAGGUGAUCUGCCUGCCUCAGCCUCCCAAAGUGCUGGGAUUACAGGCGUGAGCCACCAUGCCCAAUGGGUGUGGGAUUUAGUAUAUUAAUGAGUGUAUAAUGAGGUCCUUGGUGAAACCUACAUCAAAUCCAGCACCGUGUUGGGUCCAGUCUGUCUUAGCCAGCUUGGUCCACACCCUGGUUUUUUAGGGUCUUAUUGGCCCCUUACUUCUGCAGCAAAAGUUUCCUUUUGCUAGUCAUGUGAAACUGCCACCUGGAAUUUUCUAUUCUCUAGUGACCACCCUGUAUUAUUCCUGUCUCACUGGGACCCUAAGAAAUUGGGAAUUCCAACUACACAUCCAAAAUAGUUUGACUAAAACUGUUGAAAAAAGAAAAAAAUAAUGGCAUAAAGUAUUGCUUGACUAAAUUCCAGCCAGGUGCAUUGGCCACUUUAGGUCGGGUGUGGUGGCUCAUGCUUGUAAUCCCAGCAUUUUGGGAGGCUGAGGCGGGAGGAUCACUUGAGGUCAGGAGUUCCAAACCAGUCUGGCCAAAAUGGUAAAACCCCCUCUCUACUAAAAAUACAAAAAUUAGCCGGACCUGGUGGCGGAAGCCUGUAAUCCCAGCUACUCUGGAGGCUGAGGCACGAAAAUUGCUUGAACCCAGGAGGUGGAGGUUGCAUUGAACCAAGAUCAUACCACUGCACUCUAGCCUGUGUGACAGAGAAAGAUUCCGUCUCAAGAAACAAAAACAAAAAUGAAAAACAAACAAAAAGAAAGCCCAUUCUAUCUUUUUUAUUUUUUAUUUUUUUGAGACAGGGUCUCGCUCUGUCACUCAGGCUGGAGUGCCACAGCGCGAUCUCUGCUCACUACAACCUCCAUCUCCCAGGCUCAAGCACUCCUCCCACCUCAGCCUCCUGAGUAGCUGGGACCACAGGCACAGAAACCCCACUGUAAAUAAAGAGAGGUAGGCUUUUAAAAAUGUCACUCUGUUCACAGUAAGGCAAGCAAGGGAAGCAAAAUCAAUUUCUUUCUAGAGGUGGGAUAAUGGGUAGGGAGUGGAAGACUUUAGGAAAGAGGUGCCCCAGUUUCUGAGUCACUUCAUGGCUUCAAUAUUCAUUGACUAUCAAUCAACAGAUGAAUGGAUAUACAAAAGGUGGUAUCUCUGUUGCAGCAGGUAGUUAGUCAGAGCUGAGCAGGGAAGGAGAGGCUCCUCCGCCCCAUCAGGAGAUGAUCAGGCAGUUGUUAAACUGUCUCUCUCAAAUAAUCAUUGGUUGCAGCCGAUGCCAGGGAAAGACAGUCUCCCAGUAGAUAGAAACGCCAGAAACUGGUGAUCAGCAGCUUCCCAGUAAGAUCUCAGGAGGUGGGUGAGUGGGCUUAAGCAUGUGCAUGAAGAGGCAAAAUGGUUGAGCUUAGCUGGUACAUGACCUUCCUCUAGGAACACUCAACUGAUAAGGGAAGAACACCUCAAGUGAGCACACAUAUAGCUUCAGUAAACACACUCACAUGCAGCCCCUCCCAAGUGCUGGCAGGCCAUUGUACAUGCAGACUGCCAACAUAUAAAACCACAAGUCAAAGGUCAAACCAUGCACUUGAAUCUCUCAAGGUCCCUACUGGCCCUCUUCCACGUGUACUUU